AUGGGCUGGCUAGUGAAGAUUAUAGCACAUAAGCACCUUCCUCAUUUUGCAGGCUGCCUAAUGGUAAUGAGACAGAAUGGAAAGAAACCCACUAUGGAAUCAGACAGACUUAGAAUAAAGUCAAUGUUUCACUAUUUCCACUACUUCUUGGCUCUACGGACAAGCAGCACCCAUCUUAGAAGAUUGCUUGAAAAGUGCAGCAUAUUUGGAAUUGCUCUCCUAAGAAUGAGGCUUGGACAAACAAGCCCACACCAUUCUAAAAAAGAAUCCGGAUGAUAUGCAGCAGGCCAGGAAGCCACGGCUGAGGAGGCCAAGAGAAAGGUUAGCAAGUGAGAGAGGAGAGGAAUCCAGAGGUCUCCUCUGGGCAUGUCCUGACUUUGGGAGCCCUUUUAGGACACACUCAUAAGUCUCUUUGCCAACAGACGAUCUUAUGUAAGACCUCUCCUUGCUCUUUCCUGGUGCCUUCUUCCUUUAUCUCCCUAGAUCUAUGAUUUUUCUA
rnacentral:lncRNA from 1 species